rnacentral:rRNA from 1 species
GACGAACGCUGGCGGCGUGCUUAACACAUGCAAGUCGAACGGGAGUAUCGAAGAAGCUUGCUUUAGAGAUACUUUAGUGGCGGACGGGUGAGUAACGCGUGAGGAGCUGUCCUAUGCAGGGGGACAACAGUUGGAAACGACUGCUAAUACCCCAUAAGCCGAGAGGUAAAAGGAUUUAUCCGGCAGAGGAGGUACUCGCGUCCUAUCAGCUAGUAGGUGAGGUAACGGCUCACCUAGGCGAAGACGGGUAGCCGGCCUGAGAGGGCGAACGGGCACACUGGAACUGAGAUACGGUCCAGACUCCUACGGGAGGCAGCAGUGGGGAAUAUUGGGCAAUGGGGGGAACCCUGACCCAGCGACGCCGCGUGGGUGAAGAAAUCCCUCGGGAUGUAAAGCCCUGUUGUAUGGGAAGAGCGGAAGACGGUACCAUACGAGGAAGCCCCGGCAAACUACGUGCCAGCCGCCGCGGUAA